AUUGAACGCUGGCGGCAGGCUUAACACAUGCAAGUCGAGCGAGCGGCGGACGGGUGAGUAAUGCCUAGGAAUCUGCCUGGUCGUGGGGGAUAACGUCCGGAACCGGGCGCUAAUACUGCAUACUAUCAGCAGUGCCCAGAUGGGAUUAGCUUGUUGGUGGGGUAACGGCUCAACCAGGCGACGAUCCCUAGCUGGUCUGAGAGGAUGACCAGCCACACGGGAACUGAGACACGGUCCAGACUCCUACGGGAGGCAGCAGUGGGGAAUAUUGCACAAUGGGCGCAAGCCUGAUGCAGCCAUGCCGCGAGUAUGAAGAAGGCCUUCGGGUUGUAAAGUACUUUCAGCGGGGAGGCGUUACCCGCAGAAGAAGCACCGGCUAACUCCGUGCCAGCAGCCGCGGUAAUUC
rnacentral:rRNA from 1 species